UAAGGCAUGCAAGUCGAACGCUACCUUCGGGAAAGCGUGGCAAACGGGCUAGUAACACGUGGGAAUCUGCCCUAAAGACGGGGAUAACCCGGAGAAAUCCGGGAUAAUACCCGAUAAUCUCUUCGGAGUAAAGAUUUAUCGCUUUAGGAGGAGCCCGCGCACUAUCAGCUUGUUGGCGGGGUAAUGGCCCACCAAGGCUAUGACGGUUAAGGGGUGUGAGAGCAUGACCCCUAGCAUUGGCACUGAGACACUGGCCAAACACCUACGGGUGGCUGCAGUCGAGAAUCUUUCACAAUGGGCGAAAGCCUGAUGAAGCGACGCUGCGUGCGGGAUGAAGGCCUUCGGGUUGUAAACCGCUUUUGUAGGGGACGAAUCUUUUGAUGACGGUACCCUUUCGAAUAAGAGGUUGCUAACUCUGUGCCAGCAGCAGCGGUAAUACAGAGACCUCGAGCGUUAUCCGGAUUUACUGGGCGUAAAGCGUUUGUAGGGGGCUUGUCAAGUUCCAAGUAAAAUCUUAAGGCUCAACUUUAAGUUCGCUUGGAAAACUGAUAAGCUGGAGCUUAGCAGAGGCGCAUGGAACUUGCGGUGUAGGAGUGAAAUCCGUUGAUAUCGCAAGGAACACCAAAGGCGAAGGCAUUGCGCUAGGCUACAGCUGACCCUGAGAGACGAAAGCGUGGGGAGCAAAACGGAUUAGAUACCCGUGUAGUCCACGCCGUAAACGAUGGAUACUAGAUGUCCGGGGAUUC
rnacentral:rRNA from 1 species